rnacentral:ribozyme from 1 species
UGCCAUGCAACUCCGAUCCCUACCUUCGAGUGGCCUCGGCCAGGAUACGAGUAACUUUAGGGAAGAUCGGGUAAAUAACCCCGGUGGGAACUUAGUUCGUAUGCUGACAGGGACGG